CCAGACUCCUACGGGAGGCAGCAGUGAGGACUCUUUUUCAAUGGGCUGUCGCCUGAACCCGCCCCGUCGCGUGCUGUCCGACGGUCCUAUUGCUUGUAAACCUCUUUAGGCGGGGAGCCAUGCCGGGCCCGCGUGCCCGGAGGGAGAGUACCCGCAGAAUAAGCAUCGGCUACAUCCGUGCCAGCAGCCGCGGUAAUACGGAGGAUGCGAGCGUUAUCCGGAUUUAUUGGGUUUAAAGGGUGCUGAGGCGGAUUUGGAAGUCAGCGGUAAAAUGUCCGGGCUCAACCCGGGCCGGCCGUUGAAACUGGGGAUCUUGAGUGGGCGAGAAGUAUGCGGAAUGCGUGGUGUAGCGGUGAAAUGCAUAGAUAUCACGCAGAACUCCGAUUGCGAAGGCAGCAUACCGGCGCCCGACUGACGCUGAGGCACGAAAGCGUGGGGAUCGCACAGGAUUAGAUACCCCUGUAU
rnacentral:rRNA from 1 species